CCUCUCUCUCUAUACGCCACCACUUUUUCCUAGUUACCUCUUCCGCAUUCGGUGAGCUGACUGUGCAAUAAGAAGCUUCCCUUCUAUUUUUUUUCAUUCAUAUGUUGUUUUUCACUCACGUUUUUUCUAUCUCACCGACUGGUUUGGUGACUAGAUCAGAGGCGUCGUUUGUGUUGUGGUGGUCUUCCGGUGGUGCUAGGGUUUCAAC
rnacentral:lncRNA from 1 species